ACGGAGGGUGCAAGCGUUAUUCGGACUUACUGUUCCUCCCGGGCGUGCAGGCGGGAGAGCAAGUCUGAUGUGAAAGCCCGGGGCUUAACCCCGGAAGGGCAUUGGAAACUGCUUUUCUUGAGUUCUGGAGAGGAAGGGAGAAUUCCCGGUGUAGAGGUGAAAUUCGUAGAGAUCGGGAGGAACAUCAGUGGCGAAGGCGCCCUUCUGGACAGCAACUGACGCGGAGACGCGAAAGCGUGGGGAGCAAACAG
rnacentral:rRNA from 1 species